UUUCCCAUGGUUGUUCGUCAGACUGCCGGUAAAUCCUUGAAAUAUCUGCUGUCGGUAUCUGAAAUCUGCUUGAUUAACAGUUUGAAUUUCCAGCAGAUGCUCGAAUACGGGUUGUCGAAGAGAUAAUAGAUUGAAUAGUCUUCACAACCUCGUGAAGAUGUCAGGAAGCGUUUAAUUCAAAUACAGUGUGAUCGAAUCCCGCUCGCAAUGAUGGUCUGAAAUACGAACCCACAAAUGCAAUAGCAAGUUACAUUGGAAAAGUUCGGAGGGCUCUUGCUUCCGCUGCAUUCCGACCGCAACAGGCUUUUACCGGCUGUUUGCGAGAAAAAGUUAAUUCACCCCCAGAUAAAACUUUUGCCACCGGAGUAAUUUGAACGUGAAUUACAGCGAAAGUUUCGUGUUAACACCGUCACGAAAUUAAGAGUUAUUACGGCUAACAUACGGAAUAGUUUUCAUAACCGGCUCUCCGUCGUUUUCUUCAACGAGCCAAUCAAAUUGCGG